CCCUGCUGGCCUGGGGGACCUCUCUGACAAAAACAGCAUAUACUGGUUAAUGGAGCACGUUGGGCAACAAGGAGAAACUGAAUGCAAUGUUCUGAGGCCCCCACUUCCACGCGCAGGUGUUAAGGGAGAAAUAAGAAGGGAGCAGGAGAGAAACAGAACAAUGGAAGAGUGACCAGGUCUGAAGCUGAAGGCCUCGGGUGACAAGAGUCCCUGAAUUUCCACCAUCUCCUGGUCCUCUCCUACAUCACUACUCUUCCUGGUCUCUCUGGCUGAACCUCCCUCAUCUCAGCAACCUCUAAGUGUUAGUUGUUUCACCGUCCAGCUCUAUGACUUCUCUGCAGCAUUCGUCUCUCAGUGAUUCCUCUUGUUUCAUGGCUUUAAAUAAAUACCACAUAUAUGCUGACAACUCCUAGAGUUCUAUUCUCAGCUGGGCCUGCCUGUUGAACUCCAGAAGAACAUACCUAACUGCCUGCUUGCAUCUUCUCUUAGGUGUCUAAUAGUGAUCAAAAUCCUGAUUGAACUUAGAUGUUCCCAACCAACUGUCGAUAUUCUCACUGAUAACUGUGCUUCCCAUAGUCUUUCCCAUCUCAAUAAAUGGCAACUGUAUACUUCUGAUUAAUCACUCCAAAAAUAUUGGUGUCACUCUUGAUUUUCCUUUCUCUUACACUUCAGCUCUGUUUAC